UAGGGAAUCUUCCACAAUGGACGAAAGUCUGACGGAGCAACGCCGCGUGAGUGAAGAAGGGUUUCGGCUCGUAAAACUCUGUUGUUAAAGAAGAACAUAUCUGAGAGUAACUGUUCAGGUAUUGACGGUAUUUAACCAGAAAGCCACGGCUAACUACGUGCCAA
rnacentral:rRNA from 1 species